GUCCGCUGACAAAGCGCUGACCCACCCCGCUCACGGUCCGCUUACGCAGUCCGCGUGCGGCUCCAGGGAGCUGUCCGCCCCGGUGGUUCUGAACCAGGCGCCGCCGAAACGCUCCAGGAGUACCCAGGGAGCAAGAGAAGCCCUGAGACAGCAGCAAGGGACACUGUGGGGCUGCAGGGACCCCAGGUCAUCCUCAUGCACAUGGAAGCUUCAGACACACAGAGAGAAAUGUUUGCAUAGCGGAAGGGCGAGUGCUGUUCUUCUGGAUUGCCUUUACUAGUUUGCAUGUUUUCCAACUCUCCAUGACAUCUCCACGUUAAACGUCCUCCUGAAUAGUGACACAGCUGAAUAAUUGGUCAUCGAAUGCCUAAGUUGUUAAACGAAACAAAUUUUGAAAGUCAGCUUUUUACAAGCCUUAGCUCACAGUGGCCUUUUGCUUCCUGCU
rnacentral:lncRNA from 1 species